rnacentral:rRNA from 1 species
UGGGGAAUAUUGCACAAUGGGCGCAAGCCUGAUGCAGCCAUGCCGCGUGUGUGAAGAAGGCCUUCGGGUUGUAAAGCACUUUCAGCGAGGAGGAAGGUGGUGGACUUAAUACGUUCAUCAAUUGACGUUACUCGCAGAAGAAGCACCGGCUAACUCCGUGCCAGCAGCCGCGGUAAUACGGAGGGUGCAAGCGUUAAUCGGAAUUACUGGGCGUAAAGCGCACGCAGGCGGUUUGUUAAGUCAGAUGUGAAAUCCCCGGGCUCAACCUGGGAACUGCAUUUGAAACUGGCAAGCUAGAGUCUCGUAGAGGGGGGUAGAAUUCCAGGUGUAGCGGUGAAAUGCGUAGAGAUCUGGAGGAAUACCGGUGGCGAAGGCGGCCCCCCUGGANGAAGACUGACGCUCAGGUGCG